AGGGCACCACCAGGAGUGGAGCCUGCGGCUUAAUUUGACUCAACACGGGAAAACUCACCCGGCCCGGACACUGGAAGGAUUGACAGAUUGAGAGCUCUUUCUUGAUUCAGUGGGUGGUGGUGCAUGGCCGUUCUUAGUUGGUGGAGCGAUUUGUCUGGUUAAUUCCGAUAACGAACGAGACUCUAGCCUACUAAAUAGAUUGGUGUUCACUAGUUUGACACCAAGACUUCUUAGAGGGACAGGCGGCGACUCAGCCGCACGAAACAGAGCAAUAACAGGUCUGUGAUGCCCUUAGAUGUUCGGGGCCGCACGCGUGCUACAAUGGUGGUAACAGCGUGAUUGUCCUCGCCCGACAGGGCUUGGCAAACAGUUGAGAUAUUAUUAUGGCUGGAAUUGAGUGUUGAAAUUUUCUCUCAUGAACGAGGAAUUCCAAGUAAAUGCGAGUCAUCAACUUGCAUUGAUUACGUCCCCGCCCUUUGUACACACCGCCCGUCGCUACCCGGGACUGAGUUGUUUCGA
rnacentral:rRNA from 1 species